rnacentral:lncRNA from 1 species
AUUUUACUGUCUGUCUUCAUGAAUUUAAGAAUUUUGGGUACCUUGUAUACAUGAAAUCAUAAAGUAUAUAUCUUUUUGAGACCAGCUUAUUUCAUUUGAGAUAAUAUCUUCAAAGUUCAUCUUUGUCAUAAUAUGUCACAAUUUCCUUUUUAAAAGGCUGAAUAAUAUUCCAUUGUGUGAAUAUUUCACAUUUUGUUUGCUCAUUCCACCAAAGAUGGAUAUCUGGGUUGUUUCCACCUUUCGGCUAUUGCAUGCAAUGCUGUUAUAAAUAUGAGUGAAUGUCUCCCUCUUGCUGCUAUAAAAGAAGUCAGAGAAUCCCUGCAUAGAGACUGGAGAGCUAUUCAAGGAUCACCAGCAGCUGCUGCCCCUGGCAAGCUGUGAUCUUCAAAACCAAAUUUAACAGGGAAAUCUGUGCUGACCCCAAGCAGGAGUGGGUACAGGAAUCCAUGACGUACUUAGACAACAAAUCCCCAGCUCCAAAGUCUUGAAUACUCACACCUGAACUGAAACCAAGCCAAGACUUAAGAAGCAAACAAUCUUAUAUCCCCUGUCCUUUGUGAGACUUGAUCAGUUUAUUAUAAUCCCAAGGAAGAUGAGCUCUGUGUAAUAAUGUGAAUUAUAGUUUUUAAGUAUUGAUUUUUAAAGUUAUUAAUAUUUUAAUUUAAUCUGCUAUGAAUUUUGGUGUGGUUUAGAUGUAAAACUCUGGCUGCAUCAAGUCACUUUAGUCCCACAAAAACUGUGGGAUGCUCCUCCCUGUCUACCUUGCCACAAUAUUAUGAAGGGUC